rnacentral:misc_RNA from 1 species
GAUGAAGAACGUAGCGAAAUGCGAUAAGUAAUGUGAAUUGCAGAAUUCAGUGAAUCAUCGAAUCUUUGAACGCACAUUGCGCCCGCCAGUAUUCUGGCGGGCAUGCCUGUUCGAGCGUCAUUUCAACCAUCAAGCCCCAGGCUUGUGUUGGAGCCCUGCGGCUGCCGCAGCCUCCCAAAACCAGUGGCGGGCUCGCUAUCACACCGAGUGCAGUAGUUUACUCUUCGCUCAGGGCGUGUGGCGGGUGCUAGCCGUAAAACCCCCAACUUCUCAAGGUUGAACUCGGAUCAGGUAGGAAUACCCGCUGAACUUAAGCAUAUCAAUAAGCGGAGGA